GGUCAGAUGGCCGAGCGGUCUAAGGCGCUAGCUUCAGGAGGAUCUUCGAUCCAAGUGUCUGCUAGUCAUGAAAAUGGCGUGGGUUCGAAUCCCACUCUGAUCA
rnacentral:tRNA from 2 species